AUUGAACGCUGGCGGCAUGCCUUACACAUGCAAGUCGAACGGCAGCGGGCCCUUCGGGGUGCCUGCGAGUGGCGAACGGGUGAGUAAUGCAUCGGAACGUACCCGGGAGAGGGGGAUAACCGGCCGAAAGGCUGGCUAAUACCGCAUGAACUCGGAAGAGCAAAGCGGGGGACCUUCGGGCCUCGCGCUCUCGGAGCGGCCGAUGUCCGAUUAGGCUAGUUGGUGGGGUAAAGGCCCACCAAGGCGACGAUCGGUAGCGGGUCUGAGAGGACGAUCCGCCACACUGGGACUGAGACACGGCCCAGACUCCUACGGGAGGCAGCAGUGGGGAAUCUUGGACAAUGGGCGCAAGCCUGAUCCAGCAAUGCCGCGUGGGUGAAGAAGGCCUUCGGGUUGUAAAGCCCUUUCGGCGGGGAAGAAAUCGGUCAGGCGAAUAGUCUGGCCGGAUGACGGUACCCGCAGAAGAAGCACCGGCUAACUACGUG
rnacentral:rRNA from 1 species